rnacentral:lncRNA from 1 species
AUGAAUAAACCCGCAGUAUGGAUGAGCCAAUGCUGGAAUGUUGGUAAACAGACUAACAGACGGUGGAGUGAGCUGACGUUUCUCCUCCUGUGGCGACUCCUGAGAUGCCUAUUAGUCGUUCUGGAGCCCAGAGGUACCUGCGUUAGCGCAGGAGAGACGGGAUGUCUUUGGGCUUUGCUUUCCUGUAGAUUUGUUGCAUGUUUACCAAGCUCUGUCUCUCAGCAAGGCAUAGAGGAGCAAGCUGAGACCUACACACUGCGGACUCCUGCAACAAAAUUGCUCUGUCUCAAUCAGUUAAACUCCCUUUGCCAGCUCUCCCCCAUCUCUCCUGCCAUGUGGAAGACACCCCAAGCACUCCACAGGGCUUUAGAGUCAAGAUUCAGCACUGUCACCACAGAGAUUGCUCCCGAGGGAAUGUUUUUUGAGGAGAAAUUACAUCCAGCGGUCGGCACCCUACUCUCAAUCUUAAUGGAGAAUGGGACUGGCAAGUGGAGAGGGAGCCGGAGGAGGGGUGGGAGUGCAGGUGGGAGGGGGGGUAUGGUGGGAAGAAUCACUGUAUUUCUAAAGUUGUACUUAUGAAAUUUGUAUUCCUUAAAAAAUAAAUUAAAACAAAAUUUGCA